GUACUGCUGAAGAGUCCCAAAAGGGGUGAAACAGCUGUGCAGUAC
rnacentral:hammerhead_ribozyme from 1 species